rnacentral:rRNA from 1 species
UAAGGAAUAUUGGUCAAUGGACGCAAGUCUGAACCAGCCAUGCCGCGUGAAGGAUGAAGGUCCUCUGGAUUGUAAACUUCUUUUAUCUGGGACGAAAACGGGAUUUUUAUCUCAAUUGACGGUACCAGAGGAAUAAGCACCGGCUAACUCCGUGCCAGCAGCCGCGGUAAUACGGAGGGUGCGAGCGUUAUCCGGAUUCAUUGGGUUUAAAGGGUGCGUAGGCGGGCUUGUAAGUCAGUGGUGAAAUCUCUCAGCUUAACUGAGAAACUGCCAUUGAUACUGCAGGCCUAAAGUAUAGAUGACGUUGGCGGAAUAUGACAUGGAGUGGUGAAAUACUUAGAUAUGUCAUAGAACACCGAUUGCGAAGGCAGCUAACGAAACUAUAACUGACGCUGAGGCACGAAAGUGCGGGGAUCAAACA